AUGCACGCUGGCGGCGUGCCUCAUCCAUGCAAGUCGAGCGAACAGACGAGGAGCUUGCUCCUCUGACGUUAGCGGCGGACGGGUGAGUAACACGUGGAUAACCUACCUAUAAGACUGGGAUAACUUCGGGAAACCGGAGCUAAUACCGGAUAAUAUAUUGAACCGCAUGGUUCAAUAGUGAAAGACGGUUUUGCUGUCACUUAUGGAUGGAUCCGCGCCGCAUUAGCUAGUUGGUAAGGUAACGGCUUACCAAGGCAACGAUGCGUAGCCGACCUGAGAGGGUGAUCGGCCACACUGGAACUGAGACACGGUCCAGACUCCUACGGGAGGCAGCAGUAGGGAAUCUUCCGCAAUGGGCGAAAGCCUGACGGAGCAACGCCGCGUGAGUGAUGAAGGUCUUCGGAUCGUAAAACUCUGUUAUUAGGGAAGAACAAAUGUGUAAGUAACUAUGCACGUCUUGACGGUACCUAAUCAGAAAGCCACGGCUAACUACGUG
rnacentral:rRNA from 1 species